GGCUCAGGACGAACGCUGACGGCGUGCUUAACACAUGCAAGUCGAACGGGAUCCAUCCAAUGGCAACAUUGGGGAAGAUCUAGUGGCGAACGGGUGAGUAACACGUGAGGAACCCACCCCGAUCUCAGGAAUAACAGUGGGAAACCACUGCUAAUACCGGAUGCCUUCCUCGAGCCUCCUGGCUCGGCGAAGAAAGGGUUACCGGAUCGGGAGGGCCUCGCGGCCUAUCAGCUUGUUGGCGGGGUAACGGCCCACCAAGGCAGCGACGGGUAGCUGGUCUGAGAGGAUGAUCAGCCACACUGGGACUGAGACACGGCCCAGACUCCUACGGGAGGCAGCAGUGGGGAAUCUUGCGCAAUGGGCGAAAGCCUGACGCAGCAACGCCGCGUGGGGGAUGACGGCCCUCGGGUUGUAAACCCCUUUCAGCAGGAACGAAAUUGACGGUACCUGCAGAAGAAGGCCCGGCCAACUACGUGCCAGCAGCCGCGGUAACACGUAGGGGCCAAGCGUUGUCCGGAUUUAUUGGGCGUAAAGAGCUCGUAGGCGGUUGGGUAAGUCGGGUGUGAAAACUCCAGGCUCAACUUGGAGACGCCACCCGAUACUGCUCUGACUUGAGUUCGGUAGGGGAGUGGGGAAUUCCUGGUGUAGCGGUGAAAUGCGCAGAUAUCAGGAGGAACACCGGUGGCGAAGGCGCCACUCUGGGCCGAAACUGACGCUGAGGAGCGAAAGCGUGGGUAGCAAACAGGAUUAGAUACCCUGGUAGUCCACGCCGUAAACGUUGGGCACUAGGUGUGGGCCCUAACCAACGGGGUCCGUGCCGUAGCUAACGCAUUAAGUGCCCCGCCUGGGGAGUACGGCCGCAAGGUU
rnacentral:rRNA from 1 species